AUUUUAUUUUUCAAAUAUUUUUUAAAAAAUCAUUUACCAAGCGGUUCAUUGAAUAGUUUUCUCUUGUACACGUGUAAAGAAAACUCGGGAAACUGGGCUUGCAUAUGUUUGAUCGUAAAUUACUUUUAUUAAUACACACGUACAUUUCCAGAUAAACGCAAUCACAGGUGUGAUUAUUUAACCAUGCUACAAGUUGCAGUAUACUACGAAGUAAUUUCUUAGGAAAAUAUGAUUUCACGGCUGAGAUCAGAAACAUCGCCUCAGGGUCCCAGCAGACAAAAAGGAAAAGACGUUGCCCGGAGGAUGGCGAGGGAGAUUCACUGCAACAGCCACUCUGACUCACGGGACUCGCACUUUUAUCGUUCAAAUAUGAAAUGGAGAAAAGAUGGUGAAAAACAGAAUUCAUAGAGUCAAAUAAAAUGACCUGAUGAAACAAGUAUCAGCAACAUACUGAAAUUCGAUUCACCAGAGUAUGCUCCUCCUCUGUUAGAUGCGUCGCUGUAAGAAACCAGCAUUACUUACUUGAGAUGAGGGAUCUUUUCGGUUUGAACGGCAGUUUUUAACAUAAUUUCUAGGUAACUAAAAAAUUUUAACUUCGUAUACUGGU
rnacentral:misc_RNA from 1 species